CCCGGCAUGGAGUGGUGCUCCGCGACCCAGAAGCGGUGGAAGCCGCGGCGUUCGGCGAGGCGGGCCAGUUCGACCGUGGUGCCGAGC
rnacentral:tRNA from 1 species